rnacentral:rRNA from 1 species
AAGUGGGGAUGACGUCAAGUCCUCAUGGCCUUAUGACCAGGGCUACACACGUACUACAAUGGCAGGUACAAAGGGCAGCCACUUAGCGAUAAGGCGCGAAUCCCGUAAAACCUGUCUCAGUCCGGAUUGGAGUCUGCAACUCGACUCCAUGAAGUUGGAAUCGCUAGUAAUCGCAGAUCAGCACGCUGCGGUGAAUACGUUCCCGGGCCUU